UACGUAGGGUGCAAGCGUUAAUCGGAAUUACUGGCGUAAAGCGCGCGUAGGUGGUUUGUUAAGUUUGAAUGUGAAAUCCCCGGGCUCAACCUGGGAACUGCAUGCAAAACUGGCAAGCUAGAGUAUGGUAGAGGGUGGUGGAAUUUCCUGUGUAGCGGUGAAAUGCGUAGAUAAUAGGAAGGAACACCAGUGGCGAAGGCGACCACCUGGACUGAUACUGACACUGAGGUGCGAAAGCGUGGGGAGCAAACAGG
rnacentral:rRNA from 1 species